AUAAUAGAAAAUGAAGUGUGUUUACUUUUUAUUGAUGAAGUAUUUAAUUGUACAGAGGGUUUGAGAGAUGUUCUUAGUGGCAUCUCAGACUGUGCAUGGGCUAGAAAUGCCAGUUAGUCUUUGGUACAAAAAAACAGGCUAAGUUAAAUAUUUUGUGAACGGGAAGACCAGAGGGAUGCCAUGGGCUCUUUGGUGACAUGUCAUAAUUGUGCCAGGAGAGCCAGGGAACUCCAGUGAUAUCUUCUCUAACAGGACUAGAUGCUAAGAUGACCCAAGACUUGUUGAGUGGAUGUGUUUUAACAACACAAGAGAAUGUACAAAACUCUGCACAGCGUGGCAUUUUGUCCUGGAGCUGUGCCACAGAGCUUUAGAGCCUGCCUGCUUUCUCUUAUGCCUCUAGCUUAUUUUCUUAAGCAAGCACAAGCAAGUGCAGGGUGUAGAGAUAAGGCUGUGACCUUUUAGAUUAUUCUGUUACUCUAUAAAUACUGAAUGGGUCCAGUGAGGCAACUGGGAUUUUUUGUGAGGUUAAGAUAAUUUCCUUAAUUCAGAUGUCUAAAAGUAGCAACCUAUAGUCAUCAGUGACCUGGGCUGGUUUUUUGUGGGGCACAGACCUUUAGAGUCCAUAUCCCAUCUCUGGAGCUGCCCUGUUUUGAAUCUCUGUCUGUAAGUUCAUAGAAGUUUGUUUGAUUCAGUGAAGGAUCAUGAGGCUUCAAAAGCAGAGGAGACCAAGAAUCUUGGAGUCUCUAUGACAGGUUUGUGCACCUUUACAAGAAGCAUGGGUGCAAUAAAGAGGUGUACUCAUAAUGAAUUAAAUGGGGCUACUUUUGUUUGGUCUUAGUUAUGUAAAGUGUCCAGGGAAGCUCUUAAGCACAUGCCAAGGUCAGUGAGAGCUAAUCACUUUUACAAAGUUUGCUUGGAUCAGAUCCUAAGCGUACAGAAAUUGGACACACCAGUUGCUUUUCAGAGCCACCAUUCUCUUCAGCCAUGAGAGCUGAAGGUGCCACAAUGCUGCUUCUGCUUCCAAGUGAGAUGGGAGCUAGGGAUCCCCUAGAAAAAAACCUCUUCCACCUGUCCCUAAGGCCAUGGAGUAGAGCAUGUAGGGUUGAUUCAAGCUUUUUUGUCUUGUCCAUCUUGCUUAUUGACAUCAAGUUACUAAUUCCAAAAUUCCCGUCUUGACAACACCUUAGUAAGGGAAAACAUCCAAUUAUGCAGCCUCCAAAUGGCACAGAGACCAGCCCAGCAGAGAAGAUCUCAGCUGUGAGGGAAUUGCAACUUCAUUUGCCUUCCUUGGGGAUAAAAGCCUCUCAUCAUCUUGUGAGCUGCCACAAGAAGAGCUGAAUCCUGCCACAUGGGAUUGGGCAGUCCCAGUGCUGACCAGCAUGACAGCAGAAAGUGGAAGGGGAAUUCAAGCAGAGAAGAAAUUCUACAGGGGAGAAUAGAGGCAAGAAAUUCCUAGGAAUGUUACAGAAAUCAACAUUCCCCCUUUCUGCUCCUUCCAAACCAACCCACCUAAAAAAUGCUAUUUUGGAAAGGAGUCCAUGCCUGGGGAAUUUUUGGCUGAUGCUUAUGGCUUUUAGAAAUUUCUGGGAGAUCAGACGAAUAGAAACAGGAACCAGAUGGGACUUCUAGCUGCUGGAAAGAAAGGAAGAAAAAAAAAAGGGAGGGUGGGAAGGAAUCUUUUCCUUAUUUAAGAUGUGAAAAGCACUUGUUCACUUCUGGGGAGUUUCCCCAUCACCCUGGAUUUCUUAUUUUAAAGUAAUUUACUCCAGUUCCAUUAUAUUCUCUUAGGACAUUUAUCUCUGUUCUUGUUGUUGCUAGGAAUUUUUCUUUCUUUUGCAACAAAACCCAGUUUAUUUUUAGGAGAAUUUAAGCCGUUGCUUUAAUAGAUAAAAAGAGAGUCAGUGGUUGGUUUUGUUCUUGCAGCAGCCUCAACAUCCCUUGGCCAUUUACUUACUGAGUUUAUCUUUGAGGCUGCUAAACAUGGAAAAAGUCAGCAGUAGUGGAGAGUUGAGAGAAAGUAGAGGUGAAGAAGGUAGAAACAGCAAAACUGAGCAUGUGUGGGUCCUAUUUGAGGUAAAAGGCCAUGAAAGGAAGAGUUGCACCAUACUGGAACAUACAAUAAACCCAAAUGUGGACCUUAAAAGCAUGGGGCUUGCAGCAGCCCAACUUGUCAGGCAUCCUAUUGGUUUUGUGGUGUCUUGGCUGUUGGAUUUUGGGGUUGUAAAUCCAAAAAACAGACCUGGUCGAGUUCCAGGUUCCAUUUUAUCAGACUUUGGCUCUGCAGCUGGUUCAGUUUUGAAAAACAUCCCAGAGGUAGAAAAGGGUCCAAAGGAGCAUUUUCCAGCUCCUUGGUCCAAGCUGGACUCUGGCUGGGAGUCGUGGUCCAGCCAUGAUCUGACACCAUGCUGGGACUGGGCUCAGUUUUGCUUCAUCCUCGCAGCCUUUUGUCUCCAGGCUGAUGGGCACUGGGGGACCAGAGCAUGGGGUAUGUGACAGUGCCCUGCUCUACUCAGGGGAGCCAUGAAGUCUUGAUGCCCAGCUGGCAGGAAGGAAGCAAAGUAGAGACCACCUCAUAGACAGAGGUGGAUAAGAUCUACUUGUGGGCUUUGUUACUAACCUUCUUUUAAGGGUCUGCUUUUAAAGAAUUAUUUUAAGUUAAUUAGGGAGGAUUUUUACCUUCCAUCUUUCCAGUUAUUUACUGCUUCCUGGAGAAAAGAGAACCCACUUUUCCCAAGUUACUAUAUUGUUUUAUAGUCCUUCUUUUCUUGAUAAUCUCUUCAUACUAUUUCUCAUGCCCUCUGAACUGCUGCCUUUCCCAGGAUAGGGUCAUUAGCACAAAGCAAUGAUGCUUGAUAAAACUUCACUCAUGAUUUUUAAGUGAAUAUGAGGGGAAAUCCAUCCCUAGGACUUAAUGCUGUAUAAACUUCAUUUCUAGGGAACUGAUUGAAAGCUCCACAAACAACAUUAGGACUACACAGUGCGCUAUGAUACUUAUUAGUGGUGAUGCACACAGUCAACUUUAGAUAUUUUAAGACACAAUAAUUGAUCAUUUAUUUGUGUUUCCAAGUGUGUGUACUUUUGAACACAUGGCUUUGGUUCCAGAGUUUGUCACAGAUGGACCUAACUGAGCCAGCUUCUUGAAGCCUCUAUUAUGGUGACCAAUUGAUUGCACUAGUUUAAAUGGAAAAAAGUGCACCAAAAUGUAAGGCUUUAUGUUUGAGUGUCCAAUUUGAGUUCUGACAUUUGUGGCUUUCUUUUUUCCUUUGGCUCAUGCUGGUCCAGCAGGAUGUCCCAUAUUAGAAUGCUGCUCAGUUGUUGUUUUUUGUGAUUCCAGUGAGCUGUUUUUUCACAAAUGUCUGGAAGGAAAGAGACAUGGGGGACUUGGUUCACAGAGUUUGUACAAAAGCUUUUAUUUUUCUUUUUUUCCCCCUUUGUUUUUGCUUCUCAUGGAUCUGAUAUGCUACUGUUCUCAGGAGUGCCAUGGUGGAAUUUUUAAAGCAAAGUGCUUAUCACAUGACUCAGGUGUCUGCUGUCACAGUCAAAGCAGUAUCAUCCCAGGAAUUUUUGUUUGAAUUUAGCUUCCAGCUCAAACAAAAGUCAUCUGAGUAGGCAAGCUUUUACUGGUUUCACUUUGGCUUCCCACGUCGGUUUAAUUUGGCCCAUGUUUGCUCAAAAUAUCUCCAGCUGUCUAGAAACUUGUUCCUAGCUUGCUGGAACAUUCACAACCCUUUUGGCCAGUGUGACCUUAGCUAUAAAGGCUGGCUGUGGUUUAUUUCAGAUGGUUUUUACCAGCUUUAUUAUAUAUAAGGCAGCUCACAUAAUUGAAAGGGACACAUGUGUCGGCCGCUGUCUCUGCAGUCGCAGGUUAUAAGUUACUGCUGUCUACAAUGCUCAGGCAUGAGAUCUGCCAGAGAACACCACCUCAUUUUGUUCCAUGGGAGCUUUUGCUAAUAUUUUCAUUUAUAUUAUGAUUCAUUUUGCUUCUCUGUUGGACAGUUUCCCUGUGUUUCACACUGAGGACCCAAGUGUCAGAAGAUUAAAGGACUGUCUUUUUGCCCAACUAAUAUGAAUUGGAUGUUAAACUGUGCACUACUCUGAAAAUGAAAUGCCUUCUAAAGAAGUAAGUGGCUGGAAGGAGGCAGUGAAAAUCCAUCAGAUUUGCAUGACUAAUUAGCUUAUCCAUUAGUCAUUAUCCUGUGUUUACUUGUAAUGAGAAUCUUCAAAGAUUAUUCUAUAUUGGACAUGCAGAUAAUUUUUUGCUUAUGUAAUUUUUUCUAUAUUGAGAUCCUACUGUGCUGUGAGCUCUACCUUGACAUACAUAAUUCUCUCUUAGCUUAGGUGUCUAUCCCUACAGGGUGUUGAUCCUGUCUGUAUCCAUCACUGGUGCAUGGACUGAGUGCCCACACACCCCAUGUAUAAGACAUUUUUGCUUUGCCCCAGAACUGGGUCUGAAUUUCUGAGUUUCUUGGCAACCGGAGCCCAGCCUCAUUUCAUGAGAUGCAAAUAAUUCUGGAUAUCAAGUUGUGAUUCUCAGUUAGUGUACCUUGACUUAUUCUUCUUCUCAAUUAUUAAACAAGGGCUUCUUUUGUGAAAGUCAUUAAUGUAGGCUGAAAUUAUCUCUGUGUGCCUUCUGGAUGUUUGGUAUGAUUUUGUAAGGGAAAUGUGACUUCUGCAGUUGUUAUUUUCAGAUUUUCCUUACUUAUAAAGGUUGAAAGGAUAUGAAUGAUCUUCUUUUUAAAAAUUAGCAUUCAUUUUUAACUAGCUUUACAAGCUUCUGUAUGUAUGGCAACUAUUUAAAUUUAUUCAUUUGGGGUGGGAAGUGGAAAUGUUCAUAUGCCCAAAACAGGAGAUGGGUAGCAUGUUACCUUUGGAUUUUGAAACAGCGAAGCUUAAAAGUACAAUUCUGAUGAUUUUGUUUUGUUUUGAAGACCCUGCUAUGUCACGCUCAUAGAAGCAUUAUUAUAAUUGAAAAAGAGGAUUGGUGCGAUAAAACUGACUUUUGACAGAUUUUUCCCAAAAAGCUGGAUUUGGCACUGUUCUCUUCCUGCAAGACUCAACCAUUUCCUGUUUUCUGGCAUUUCCACUGGACAUAUAAAUUUUUGCAUUUACCUCAAAAAGUCACAGAACUAAAAAUCAAAAACAGAGAAAAAAAUAUGAAGAAGUUUUCUGAAUCUGAUGAGACUUUCAUCUCUACAAGGAAGCAAAUAAUUUUUUUAUUUGUGACCUAACUUGUCUGCUUUAGGGGAACUUAUGCCUGAGCCUGAUAUUAUUGUGGAAGCUGAUUUUGCCAGUUCAGUGAUAUUUUUCCUUUGCCAACAACCUGCAGGGAUGUGCUGGAUGCAUUUUGUCUUGGAAUCAAAGUUCCUGAUAUGUUUGGGAAUUUUAUCAUCACGUAUUUCAGACUGGAUGAAAGGUGGGAACUGCUGGCUUCUCCAGGCACUUGUCCAUCAUUUCCAAAAGUUUGCUACAGCUUAUAGAUAAUAUUAUCUCUGUGUUGCCUAGAGCCUGUUCAGAGUGUUUGCUGUCUGCAUGGUGAAAGCAGUGACAUUAUUUCCUUUGAAAAAUGCCUUAAUUUCCACGGCGCUCUCCGUGUCUUGGUUCUUGCAGGUUCCCCGAGCCGGAGUUUCACAAGGACGUUCCCCACUCCGCAGGAGAUGGAGAGGACUGCUCGAGGUCCAGCUCUGCUCCGGGAAAGUGACUGAGUGAAACCCACCCACCCACGGCUCAUCUCCGAGUGCCCGAGCAUCCCUGGGAGGAGCCGUGUCCAGGGGCCAGGGUUUAAGUGCUUUGCUGAACGGGGGCCAAGGUCCAGCGCGGAGCCGCCCGCUCCCGCCGCCUCCUGCUCUGGCGCCGCACCGUGGAGUCAGCCCCGGGCUCGCACUGGAGGACGUUACGAAAUGCUGGCCCUGACAGAGAGCAGAUGCAUUAUUGGGAAGCCCUCGGGUCAUGACAGGGCUAAUAGUCACAUUCCUGGCUGGGAUGGCGAAAGAUUUACGCCGGGCGCUCGCUCGCCUCGCCUCGCCCUGCACCAGGCCAGCUCCCUACUUCACCGGCCCCCUCGGCUUUAAUUGUUGUGUUAAUGGCCCUUUUAUUUGAAGCAGAUCCCCUGGCUUACAGAGGAGAAUGACAUUAUGUCGUAUUUUAGAUGUAUUUACAUUCUCUUUGCCACAGGGAUAACGUUCUAAUUAUUUUCUAUAGCUGACAGCACCAGCGUCUCUGGUAUUAGGGACCCCUUAGACCUGAUUACGUGGUCUGGUUUUCCUCAAAUCACCCACAAAUGACAGUGUGGAGCAGGUUUAUUAUCAAUUGACGUACCUUUGCUUAGCACAACUCGCUCCCGAAACAAAUGUCCUGAAAAGAUAAUCCAUGUUUAGAGCGUGUGUCUUCCCUUGGGUGGAGGCAGAUGGGCCUAGGAGGUGAGGCCCGCGGCCCGGCCUGUGGCGGCUCUGCCUCACGCUCCGGGCACGGCCGGCAGCGGCCCAGGGUCAGCUGCAGCUCCCCGUGAAAUCCCUGCCCAAAGGAUGUGGAAAAGAACGUGCUGCCUUUGCAGCUACUGCCUCAAAGGGUGAACAGCAGCAUGGGGAGGGGAGGGCGGCGCAGGGCAGAGGGGAGCAGCAGAAGGUGUCAGCUUAGUUUUGCAAUGAGAUGUAGAGAGGGACCAGAGUCUGGUCCAGGUGGGGUUGUGCCUGUGUGAAAGUUGAUUUUAGGGGAGAAGAGCAGCCAGACAACAACAAAGAGCUGUGCAGUGGGCUUGGUGGGCACGGAGAGAGAGGAGGCACUGGCAGGUGAGUGGGGCUGGUGGAUGGAGGCUGGGAACUGCACGGUGAAAAGAUUUGCCAUGGAAGAUGACACAGGAGAAAUUUAAGAGCUUGAUGAGAGGAGGUGGGAUGAAGACCACUGCCGAGCUGGAGACAAGUGCAGUGGAGACUUCAGAGCAAAGGGUGAUGCCCAGGAGUUGGGAGCACAUAGAAGUAGGGACAGCAGUUGAGAUAAGAGCGAGAGACACAGUUAUUAGAACAAAAUUAUUUGAUUUAUCCUGAGUCAUUUAUUCACCAAAUCUUCCCCUUGAGAUCUUAAACAGACUGAAGUGGUUUCAAAUGCUGUCAUUAUUUAGAACAAUUCAACAAAAUGUUUGUUGCUUUGGAAAAAAAAAAAAAAAAAAGGAGGGGUGAGGGAUUGAGGAAAGAAAGAAAGGAAAAAUAAAAAGCCUGGAUGGUCUGGUUUGCCACAUUUGAAUUUUAGUGCCAAAUUGAAUGAUGGAUCAAGAAAAAUCACUCUUUCUGUUUUCUGAGUGGGAAUUUCACUUACAAAGCUGCUCUGAUGUGGAUGCUUACCCAAGCUCAGAUGCAGUCUUCAUGUGUAUUCUAACAUGAAAUGACAAAAAGCAAGUAUUUGUGCUAGUGAAACCCUGUCGAUGAAAUUUUUCUGCACCAGAACACCUCAACAUGGAAACAACUUCAUUACAAAAUUCAGGCACGUCUACAUGGAGACUUUUCUCCUUGCAGCUCUAGAGAUUAUUUUAUAUUUGGAGCUGCUGGGCACAUAGGGCAUUUUAAAAGCAAACAGAAAGGCAAAGACACUGCCCCAAGGGAGUUCAAAUUUAAGCCAGACCAAAGCACAGUGAAAAUGCUGGCUGCAUUGUAUUAAAAACAAGAAGGUGGACACUUUUGUUUGGAAAGCCAAGGAUUCCACUAAGUAAUUUAGUUUUUCUUGUAUGCAUGCAUGUCUUCUGUGGUAACUUUUAGCCUGGGCUUAAAAGAAAUAUGUUUCACUCCUUCCUGCAGUAACACCAGAGCCUAUGUGCAAGGUUCAGUGAAAGAUGGCAGGAGGCUAGAGGUCUCAAAAAUAGUGUUCCUGUUUUGUGAAAAUAAAACAUUAGGAGGAGAAGAGGCAACCAAGCCAUUAUUUCAACCAAAAGAAAAGCUUUUGCACAUGCAGAAGCAGUAUAAUUAGCAUAAAAAGAUAUGAGAAAGAAGAAAAGAAGGGUAAGGUAUUGUCUUACUGCCAUAGUGGCUGCAGGCAUUGGAGGUGUUUCUGUCACAACACCUACAUGAGAUUUGUCCAUUUUAAAACCCAGGAUAAUUCCACCAUGGGAACAUGGAGCUCGGGAAAUCAGGGUCUGUAUUUCCACCUCUCUUGAAGUUACCUGUUUAUUUUGAAUUCACUUGUAUGAUUGGAUGGGUGGCAGUCUGGAGAUGCUUCUUGUGGCUCAAAGAACCUUAAAUGAGCACAUUAUCUCCUGCCUCUCUUGGAGAACAUUUUGGGGGUAGAGAUGCUGAUGAGUCAUCAUCCAAUUGGCCAGAGUGAAAACAGGAACUAGAGAGAGGAUGGGUUAAAUUUUUGUUACUGCUGUUUUAGUGUUGGGCUGAGUAAUAGAACCGGUUACCUGUUAUCUGGUUUGGUCAAUGUGAUCGAUCUGUUGGUCUUGUUAUGGGAGGAGGAAUGACAAAAUGUGUGUCUGGUUCUGUCAUUUUUGCACUUUCACUUGAAAAUAUUCAAGUAUGUGUGUCCUGUGCAGAUUUGCUGCCCUGUGAAUGUCUGAGCUGUAAUGAGGUGAAUGUUACUGGAAAGCAAAGGUUUAAUUAGCUCUGCUGUCUCAAUACUUUCCUAAAGUGCAUUUCAAAUGAUAUGCUUCAUUGUGAAAUCAGUCAUCAAUGCUGUAUUUGAUGGUUACAGAAAUUGUGUGGUUUUAUCUUUUUUUCCUGAGAAGCCCCUGAUCAGAUGACUUAAUUUUCAGAACACAGCACAAAAGAAUAAAUUGCAAGUACUCUGUGAAUUAUUAAAGGAGAAUAUUAUGAAUAACUUCAAAGAAGAAAUGCAUACUGGAAUAUUUUGUCAUGUUAGCUAAUUGUCCAGUAGCUGAAAGGAAAAGAAAGGAUAAAUCGAUUAGUUCUGACUGUUUAUUAAAAGGUUUUUGCUGAUAUAUUUUGGGUAGUUGUACUUGGCAAACUAAAUGUUUGUGUGAACAUCAUACCAGAGAUUUGGGAGUUUGGUUUGUUUUCUGAAAUAAAAAUUAUUGGAUCACAGCACUGAUUGAUAGAAAAGUGAUGUAAUAUGAUUCUAUAGGGCUUUUCUCUGAAUGAGUCACAAACUGUGCUGACACAGAGCUCCUCUGAAGGGGUCAAUAUGUAGUGCAACAGAAAGAUAAGAAAGGCCAUAGUUUUUGCCAGGAGCACUGUAAGACUCUGGGCAUACACACCAAGACAUGCAGGAGUGAAAUUCUAGAAAACUUAAAGCUUCAUAAAUCACUUGUGACAGAGCCCAGGGACGGGAGCACCAGCAGAGCUGGUGGUGGAGACAGACCCAGGACACUUCGCCCCUGCCACGUAAGGAAUCUCCUUUCUCACUGCUGACACCAUCAUUAUCUCUGCCCCAGUGGGGUCUUGGCUGGUGGAGCCUCGAAAGUCACACUUGUGCAUGGAGCUCACUUUAUCUUCAUGGAGAGGUGGAGGCUGAGUCAGCCCUGCUGGGAUUUGCACCAGUGGUUCCAGGAAGUCUGGGUAUUUCAAACCUUAGGUUUAGACCUCUAAUCAUCCCCUUAUCUAAACUGCCUAACAUCUGAGUCUGCAAAAUUGGGUUGGAAAUCUCACACAAACAUGCUUUCCCCAGCGGCAUUUCUGCAUUUGUUUGCCAGUGAAGCCCGGGACUACAGAAGGACACAGGAGAUUCAGCUUUGAAACCAAAGGUUUAAUCAAAGUGUUGUGUGAAGACCUGGUUCUUCCUUGAUUGAUGGCUUGCUUACUGCUUGCUGACAGCUGGAAAGGUUCACCCUUUGGGGCAGAAAGACAGUUAACACUCAGGUAUGGCCAUAGAAGAACAAGACCUUCCCAUAAUGGGACAGCCCAAGGAACUGGGAUAUUUUUCAUGGUUGCCUUGGCGGUGCCAUUGGCCAUAACAGCACAAAGAUUUGGGGCAGGAGGUGUAACACGGGGAGAAGAGCUAAUAAAUGACCUUUCCAAUACUGUGAUCAAGUUAAGCCCACCAAAAAAUGAUAGGUGAGGAUCUUGUAAGAUGGCAGGAGCCAAAGGGCUCUGCAGAGCCUUGUGUUGCAGUCAGAGUUCAAAAAGAUGCUGAAGUUUAGAUGCCUUUCCAAACUUAUCAAGGACAAGGGAACCACUUUGGAGAAAAUAACAGCCAACCAACCACUUUGGAGAAAAUAACAGCCAAGCCCAAAGUCAUCCUAGAAUUCAAAUUGAACUGGAAACCUAUGCACCAAGUAGUUUGUGAAGCUUAGAAAUGAAGUUCAUUUUUCCUGAUCCAUUUUUGCUGCCGUCUCUGAACUUCAUUGUUCUAACUGGCCUCUGGAUAGAAACACUGAAGUAUCAUAAGAAGAAAACCAGUCCUUACAGCAUCUAGGAAGGUACCCCACAGAACUGCUAUCUGGGACUCGUGCUUCCUUCAAGCUUCCAAGUCCUGCCUGCUGCACUGACACUGGCCCAGGGAGGCUGCAAUACUUCUUCCUGAGCUAAAGGGUGGGAUGAGGCUGAAGGGGCCUCUGCACAUACCCAGCAAUAAGGCCUCGUGCAAAGAGCAAAUGUGCUGCAUGGCAUUAAAUACUUGCGUAUGAGUCUCCCCCAGACCAUGGGGGAGAGUACCCCAGAGAGCACUGUAAAAUGUUAUAACAGCCCAAUGAGAGGAAAGGGGGAGGCAACUGUGAAGCCCCAUGGGGUUCCCUAAGGGCACCAUCCUGCAUCUGCAGAGGAUAAAGAGGAUUUUAGACAACUGUUGGACCUUUUCUCAGCUCCAGCCAGAGGUCCUGGUGAUGCAUUGCAGCACAACAACCUUUUCCAGCUCACCACAGGGCCCUGAUGGCAUCCAGGCUGCUGAAAUACCAGGGACCUGACCGUGGUCAUGCCCAUGUGUUACCAUCCAUCUCAUCCAGAGAUUUAAUUUUGGUAACUGCAGUGUGACUAGUGGAAGAUGGAGAGCUGGAAACCAACCUGCUUCUAGGAUUCAUCCAGCCCAUGCCAAGGACAUAGCUUUUGUUCUGGUAGCCCUAAUAUGGGAUAUAGCACCCAGUGCCAACCUCCUGUCUUGCUGAGGGCAGAGCUUAUGACAUAGUCUGAGCAAGGAGAGCUGGGGACAAAUCCUGGGAGAACACCAGAAGACACAGUGGGAUGCUUUUCUUCCUGGUCAAGUGGACCAAGCCUCAGCACACAAUUUAUGGCCAGGAUACGCUGCUGCAGCAGAAGCCGUACAGGCACCGUGUGGAGACUGUCUGACUGUCGUCUCAGAAAGGUUUGCUUGUGGGUUUUUUAAGCGAGUCUGCAUGAAAAUGUGUCACCAAUAAUAAGCUGUUUCCAAAAGGUCUAGGUAGAGGAUGAUGAAGAUGUCACACAAUAAUGAAUAAUUAGGUAAAACCA